AGAAAAUCAAAUGAACAAAAAUGUGUCUUAAGUUAGGAUUCCCGAGCCCUUGCCCUGUGCCUGGCCCUGUACCCUGUGUCUUCAGUGCUGCGGAGAAUGCAGCACAGACCCUGCCCUCAAGGCUUACAGUCUAAGGCCUGAAUGACUAUGCCCAGCUCCCUCCCUUAAAAUGAAGGCUGCUAUUCCCAGAAGUCAGGGGCAGCCUGGAACCCAAGAGCCUUGUAUCCCUGUCCAGGGCAUUACAUUUCAUGAAGGCAAGAACAGACCAAAUCCUGUGGACUUUUGGCAGGUGAAUUUUGGGGUACCAUGAAUCUCAGAGGUUGUUGUGCGGGCAUGACAUCAUCCAAGUAGUCAGGGAAUUUCUAGAAGGGUGGGGAAACAGAUGUUACAGAAGGACAAUGCCAUCCUGGGAGGAGGGAAUGGAAGAGGCUUCCAUCACCAGGGGAGCUAGCUCUGGCCUUUGUGGCUCCUACUUUAGUGACAUGAGAAAGUCUCUGGGGCUUUCAUGUGAACCUGUUUCAACUCCUGAGGCCAAAUAUGCUCUAUGUGUCACCCGGAGAGUCCCAGCUAAGAGGCCAAAUGAGUAAAAUGCAAGACAUGAAGCUGGGAGGGGUCGGAAUGCUGAUCUGACCUCAGGCUGCUGGAGAGAAGUUAACUAGCUUUUUAAAAUUUUUAUUUAUUUUUUUAAGAGAUAGUGUCUUGCUAUAUUGCCCAAGCUGAACUUGACUUCCUGGGCUCAAGUGAGCCUCCUGCCUCAGCCUUCUGAGAAGCUGGGACUACAGAAAUGUGCCACUGCACUUGGCUGGAACCAGCUUUUGAGGCAUUCUUUGCCUCUGAAGAACCUAGGAUGAAGUUCCUCUUACCUGAGGAAGCGGAGAAGCUUCCAGAGGCUUUGACUGUGCUGCUUUCUAACCCAUGAGCCUGCUGUUUCCAGAAGGAACACUCUAUUAGUCUGUUCUCACACUGCUAUAAAUAAAUGCCUGGCACUGGAUAAU
rnacentral:lncRNA from 1 species